rnacentral:miRNA from 1 species
UGAAUUUUUCCAUAGCAUCAG